CAUCACAUUCAUGUUUUAUAUGAAGGCUAUCCAUUAUUUAUAUUUUCUAUUUCUUGCGUUUUAGCCACACAGCAACAUUGUAAAUAGAAGUUACAACAGCAAAUUGAAAGAAGCCAAUGGUUUUGCAAUAAAAGAGAUUAUUAUUAUUAUUAUUAUUAUUAUUAUUAUUAUUAUUAUUAUUAUUAUUUAUACCCCGCUUUAUCUCUCCUGCAGGAGACUCAAAGCAGCUUAACACAAAAGACAGUUAAAUUAUUGCUUUGAUAUUUGGGUUAGUUUCAUAGCCAGUUUGUAUGUUUGCAAACUUUUUUGUGCUGGUUAGAAGGCAAGAACAAAGGUGAGAGCAAAACCAAUUGUUUUAAUAGUACAGCCAAGGAAUAAUGUCAGAUUUUCUCAACAAAUUUUGUUAUUCUGAAACAUAAAGAAAAAAACACACCAACAUGAUGAAAAACAUUUCACUUCAUAGACCCAAUAUGUAGGAAAGUUCUGCAUUUCCAUCUCAAGUCUAUUGCCAUCGUAAUGUACAAACACACGAAUAAUGUUAACAAAGAGGAACAUUUUGACUUCAACAGAGUAAAAUAUAGGAGAGAUAGGGAGAUAGGGCGGAAUAUAAAUAAAGCUUUAUUAUUAUUAUUUUUAAGUUAUAAAUUAAACUUAAAUAAUUCUCUUUGAAGAGCAGAGAUUGGUGGGAAGCCAACAAGUACAUUGCAGUGGUCCAAUGGGUUAAACCCUUGUGCUGACUGGACUGCUGACCUGAGGGUUGGGUUGCUGGCCUGAAGGUUGCCGGUUUGAAACCUUGAGACUGGGUGAGCUCCCAUCUGUCAGCUCUAGCUUGCAGGGACAUGAGAGAAGCCUCCUAGCAAGAUGGUAACACAUCUGGGCAUCCCCUGGGCAACAUCUUUGUAGACAGCCAAUUCUCUCACACCAGAAGCGACUUGCAGUAUGUUCUCAAAUUGCUUCUGACACAAUUUUUUUUAAAAAGUACAAAGAACAAACAAUAUUUUAAGAGUGUCUUAAUACCUUUAAUCAUUUGUGGUUGCCAAGAAAUAAAUUUAUUACAGAAUGCAAAAUGUUAUCCCAUAAUUCACAAUUAUUAUUAUUAUUAUUAUUAUUAUUAUUAUUAUUUUAUUAUGACACAGCAAACAAGAUAGAUAUGCUGGAUUUCGUAUCACAAGUCGAACACUUCCCAGGUGUCUAGGACUGUGUGAUAUAUUAUUAUUAUUAUUAUUAUUAUUAUUAUUAUUAUUAUUAUUAUUAUUAUUAUAUUUCUUACCUGCCUCUCCUCGUGGCUCAAGGCAGGUUACAACAUAGCUAAACACACAUAACCAUUAUAUAAAAUACACAUAUUAAAAUGUAUUUCUACAAAAUACAGAUAUUAAAAUACACAGAACAAUAAUUAAAAUAUAGUGAACACAAGAUGUGAGUUUCAAAUUUAAGAUUAAUAUGCAAAAUGGAACUAAUGUUUAUGGAUACAUCACUACCUAAUGCUUAAUUGAUCCAUAGUUGAGUAUAUUAAGAUAAUCUGGUAAAAAGACAAACAAACAAACAAACAAAUAUUGUUACAGAACUGGCACAUUUAGUUCUGUAAAAAUAUUUAAAAUGUUAAGCAAUCUCAUUUUAAACCACGCAGCACACACUGUUUAUCCAUGUUACCACACAGAACAAAUAAUACCGGAAGUAGGGAGUUUCUUAGCCAUUUUUUCUUUGGAGGGAAAAAAAUAAACAAUUUUCUUAAUAAGAAAAGGAAAGGGAAUUCAGUUAACCAUAUAAUGAUCUUAUGUAACUAUCCAUAAUCAGCUAGCCCAACACCUAGUGUACAGAUUUACUUGAUCUGUUUCAGUUUUCUUUGACUCCUGCACUGCAGUAAUUGUUGACUGUUGAGAAUUUUUCUCCCUAAAGACAAGAAAGAAAUAGGAAAAAGAAAGAAGAGUUAGCUAAAUCGGGUUUAUAAAUGGGAACAGUGUCAACAUUUCCCAUUCUCUAUCUAAACUUUUUCCAUAUUUCACAUUGUAUGAGACUUCACAAGUUAGUCGUUGCAAAUGUUGAGCUUGCAAAACAAAUUCAAAAACUCGACAGAAAGGGCCUGAUAAGGAAUGGUUUCUACAGAGAACGAGAGAAAUAUCUCUCUACCUAAUAUAAGUUAAGAAAUAAAACUUCAAAAUGACUUUGAGUUGUCUAUAUAGCAAUAUUUUUCUUUAUUAUGACUGAAAUUAUAUUGGAUAGUAUCAACUGGAGUAAACCCACUAAGGGCCCAUCUACACUGCCAUAGAAUGCAGUUUCAGACUGUAUUAUAUGGAUAGUGUAUUUAUUUACUUUUUAUUUACUUAGUUUUAUAUCCCACCAUCUCUCUCCCUUGUCGAGGGACUUGGAGAGGCUAACAUACAGCAAUAUACAGCAGCAAUUCGAUGUCAUUUCACAUAAAUCACAUAACCGCAUCAAAUUCAAAAUACAUAUACAGUAGAGUCUCACUUAUCCAAGCAAAUGGGCUGGCAGAACCUUGGAUAAGCGAAUAUCUUAGAUAAUAAGGAGGGAUUAAGGAAAAGCAUAUUAAACAUCAAAUUAGGUUAUGAUUUAAAAAAUUAAGCACCAAAACAUCAUGUUAUACAACAAAUUUGACAGAAAAAGUAGUUCAAUACGCAGUAAUGUUAUGUUGUAAUUACUGUAUUUACGAACUUAGCACCAAAAUAGCACGAUAUAUUGAAAACAUUUUCUACAAAAAUGCAUUGGAUAAUCCAGAAGCUUGGAUAAGUGAGACUCUACUGUAAAUGAAAACUCAUAUACCGCAGUAGCUGCAAUGAACAUCAUUAUAUAAGUCUACACUCAUCAUAUAAUGAGACCCCAUCUACACUGCCAUGUAAUGUAGUUUCAUUAGGCAGUUUUAACUGCAUUGAAUUACACUAUAUGGUAGUGUAGACUCAUAUAAUGUAAUUCACAACAGUUAAACUGAAAUACGAAACUGCAUUGUAUGGCAGUGUAGAUGGGGCCUGAGAUUCAACCUCCAUUGUAUGGCAGUAUAAUGUAGUUUAACUGCAUUGAAUUAGGAGCCCCCAGUGGUGCAGUGGGUUAAACCCUUGUGCUGGCAGGACUGAAAACUUGAAGGUUGGGUUGUUGACCUGAAGGUUGCCGGUUCGAAUCCAACCUGGGGAGAGCGUGGAUGAGCUCCCUCUAUCAGCUCCAGCUCCAUGCAGAGACAUGAAAGAAGCCUGCCACAAGGAUGGUAAAACAUCAAACAUCCGGGUAUGCCCUGGGCAACGUCCUUGCAGACAACCAAUUCACUCACACCAGACGUGACUUGCAGUUUCUCAAGUUGCUCCUGACGUGAAAAAAACUGCAUUGAACUGCAUUAUAUGCAUAAUAUUGCAAUGUAGAUGGAGCCAGAAGUAAACCCAACUGACUCAGGACCUCAUCAUAUUGAGGUCAACAUUGCGGGCGAUAGCGGUGGGAUUCACCAUGCAUUGUGACGAAUCCAGCGGGCAGUGUGGGGAACUUGUCGUCCCAUAACCCUCAUAGCCCCUUACCUAUCCCACGGGGAGAAGCAUCAACUCACAGCUUCUCCCUGUUCUUCUCAAUGAGAACACGAGACAUCUCCCAUGUUCUCCUUGUUCCCUUUUACGACACUUUCACCUCAGUUCAGGGACAGCGCCACAUUGGAAGUAAAUCUAUGUCAUCUGAUAGGAUCUGGUGGGCUCUGUCCCUGGACUGUGGGGAAAGUGUAAUAUUGCCAAUUUUGACCGUGUGAUGAAGUCGUCAGUGGGCCCAUGUAGUUGGAAGUAACAACAAGAUUUAGAACUGCAUCAACACUCUUUCUACGGUUUCGCCACCAUCACUAGCAUGGUUGGUGGGAUGCAAAAGAGUGGCUCAUUUGGUGGCUUCCCUAAACUUUAGAAUUCCUUUCACAAAGAUGCCAGAAUGCUCCUUGUUUUACGUCCGGUGACAUGAUUAAACCAUUCUAUGUGUUUUAAACAUUUACUUCAAGAAUGGGCAAGGUUUUUUUUUUUCGUGUCAGGAGCAACCAGAGUUGCUUCUGGAGUGAGAGAACUGGCCGUCUGCAAGGACAUUGCCCAGGAGAUGCCCGGAUGUUUUGAUGUUUACCAUCCUUGUGGGAGGCUUCUCUCAUGUCCCCACAUGGAGCUGGAGCUGAUAGAGGGAGCUCAUCCGCGCUCUCCCCGGGUAGGAUUCGAACCUAGCAGCCUUCAGGUCAGCAACCCAACCUUCAAGUCACAAGGCUUUUAUCCCCUAGGCCACCGGAGGCUCCAAUGGGCAAGGUGGUGCUGUGUUGUUGUGUUAGCUAACUGCUUAUAAGACCUUUUACCUUAUUGCUUUUCAUCCUUUUAUUCUAAGCAGAAUUGCUUUAGUAUUGUAACCAGCUCAGUCAGGCCCGUAGCCAGGAUUUUGAUUCGGGCAGGGCUGGGAUUUUGAUUCAGGGGAGGGAGCUGAGUCUGAGUGGGAGAGGAUCUACCCUAGCAAACCUUUUGUAUCAUCAUCCCAAUACCCCCAUGCAUAUAGGAUAUAUUGAGCAUGGUGAUCAGAUCAUGAUAUGAAUAAACAUAACAGUUUAAAUAAUAAAUGUAAGGCCUUCUCACAGACACCCCCCCCCCCCCCGGCUACAUACCUGAGCUCAAUCCUAUUUUAGUGUUUAUUUUUGUUUAUUUUUAAUUGUAUUGUUUGUGCAUUGCUUUGGGUACCAGUCUUUAAAAAAAGUGAAAUAAUAAUAAUACAGAAGAGUCUCACUUAUCCAACAUAAACGGGCCGGCAGAAUGUUGGAUAAGCGAAUAUGUUGGAUAAUAAGGAGGCCUUAAUGAAAACCCUAUUAAACAUCAAAUUAGGUUAUGAUUUUACAAAUUAAGCACCAAAACAUGUUAUACAACAAAUUUGACAGAAAAAGUAGUUCAAUACUAUGUAGUAUUGUACCAAUACUAUGCUAUGUAGUAAUUACUGUAUUUACGAAUUUAGCACCAAAAUAUCAUGAUGUAUUGAAAACAUUGACUACAAAAAUGUAUUGGAUAAUCCAGAACGUUGGAUAAGCGAAUGUUGGAUAAGUGAGACUCUACUGUACCACAAUAUUUUUUUCAGCGUCCUUUUGGCUUUUGUAAUAUCUUUCUCAACAUCCCCACCGCUGUGAUUGUGAAAUUGUAAUAGUGUGCCAAAUUCAGUCAACAGUUUUAAUAGUAUUUAUUACAUCAGCUAUGACAUAUUAUCACUUCACUCAAUCAUAGUGAGGGGUAAUUUAAUACACAUGCACAUUCCCUAGAUGAAAAUUUAGAAAACAAUUAAAUGGUAAUAAGCAAGCACCCCAAAGCAUUGUUCCAAACCAGCCUGAAGGCCUUCAAGUUUUCAGUUUAACUUGUUUUUCCUUACCAGUACUCCAUUCUCCUCAUGACACCCUUUUGAUCCUUUAAAUAUUUUCCUCAAAAUAUUACAAUUUUUUAAAUAGCAGAUUGGAACAGCAACUUUUUGUCAUGGAAAAAAAGCAUUAAUAUAAUAAAAUAAUGACAGAAUCAUGCAUGACCAUUAUGUACUACGUAGUACUUGAACUAUGAUGUUACGUAGUGGAUUCUGGUGUGAUCCCUCUAACCUUUCUUACUGUUAUGUACCAUCGUUGAAUAGCUCCACACGGUCAGGAAGUUCUUCCUAAUGUACAGGUGGAAUCUCCUUUUCUGUAAUUUGAAGCCAUUGCUCCAAGUCCUAGUUUCCAGGGUUGCAGAAAACAAGCUUGCUCCCUCUUCCUUAUGACAUCAUUUCACAGGAUGAUAAUGUCUCCUCUCAACCUUCUCUUCUGCAGGCUAAACACACCCAGCUCUCUAAGCUGAUCCUCAUAGGGACUCAUGGUUUCCAGACCUUUGAUCAUUUUAGUUGCCUUCCUCUUGACACGUUCUGACUUGUCAAUAUCUCUCUUGAAUUGUGUUGCCCGAAAUUAGACAUUGUCUAAUAUGAUUCAGCCCAUUUUUAAAAUAAGAAGUGUAGCCCAGUCUCUCCCAUCCACCUCCCCAGCUCCAAAUCACAUACAAUUUUUUUAGUAGUGAAUUUUCAUUCAAUAUUAAUAAUGUUGAGAAAUGAGAGAGACAGAUCUGGAAAUUUCAAUAACUGCAAUCAUAUUGGUAGAGUCGAACAACAACCUGUCACUCAGAGAGUCCUUCAUAUACAAGGUGUAGCAGAGAAAGGGGGAAAAAGUUCAGUAUUUACACUUACCCCCCCCCCCCCCCAAAAAACACCUUGUCAUAACAAGAUAUGCGGCCUACGGAUGGAAGAGAAAGUUAGAGUGAUAUAGGAAAUGCCUCCAAAACAUGAAGUCACCAUAAUUACAUAUUGUGCCUAAACUCUUACUGAUACAUCAAUAUAAGCAUACAAAGGUUCUUAAGUCUUUCUCAAUUACGUAUGUGCUCCUGAAAUCCCAUUUUGACUCUUAGGAUUACAUCCCACCCUUGGUUUGGUUUCUGUUCAUCUUAUCUGCUGUUGUUCAUUGAUAUGAAACCACACUCUCAUAGUAACAGUAGAAGUCUUUCAGUUUAAGUUCAUUAUUUAAGUUCAUUAUUAUCUUUUACCACCAGGAUCCUUGCCAGUUUGAAUAGUCUGUGCUGUUCUGGCAUUUAGGUUAUGUCUCUUUGCUCUCGGUAUUACAGUAGAGUCUCACUUAUCCAAGACUCGCUUAUCCAAGGUUCUGGAUUAUCCAAUGCAUUUUUGUAGUCAAUGUUUUCAAUAUAUCGUGAUAUUUUGGUGCUAAAUUCAUAAAUACAGUAAUUACAACGUAACAUUACUGUGUAUUGAACUACUUUUUCUGUCAAAUUUGUUGUAUAACAUGAUGUUUUGGUGCUUAAUUUGUAAAAUCAUAACCUAAUUUGAUGUUUAAUUGGCUUUUCCUUAAUCCCUCCUUAUUAUCCAAGAUAUUCGCUUAUCCAAGGUUCUGCCGGUCUGUUUAGCUUGGAUAAGUGAGACUCUUUUGUAUAUUCAUGCAUGCACAAUGCUUUGAAAGGUUCUAAUACGUUUCAUGCCAGCCACUCUGCCAUGCUGCAACUAAAAUUGUAUUUGUUUGAUGGAUUUUGGUUGCCAAGCUGCCCUGGACAUAUGUCAUGAGAACAUGACCCAAGAAUCCUCAACUCCAAAAAAACCACCACUACCACCAAAACAGUUUCUUUUAAGAAAUUCCAUUAUACUCAGAAGUGACAAUUCUUCUGUGCAAAAUGUGAUCUUCCAAAUGGCUUGCAUGUGAAAUUAGAUAUACUUACUACCAUCGUCACUUGUAUGGAUUGCUUUUUGAUUGCUCUCUAACUUAGGGCAGUUCUACACUGAUCCACCUAAAUGGAUUUGAGAAUUUAGUGUUUUCACAAUUUUCUCCUUUGUAUGCAGUGCAAUGUGUGCACAUAUGAAUUAAGAAGUGUCAGUUGAAAUGGCAGCUUUUAUACCCAGGGCAUUAUUUUCUUUUCAUUCUUAAGCAAGUCUAUUUUUGAAAUUUAUUUUAUCUAUUAUGUGAACAUAUUAUAUAAUUUAUAUUUCUCUCUUUGCAAGAGUAGCAUCGUUCAGUCAUAGAACUGGAUUCGAAAUUGUCCUUUGGAUAUAUGUUUAGGGUACAUGUUUUGUUACAUUCACUUGUUGUAUACAUGGUGGGAAAAUAAAAAUAAUAAUGUGUAAACACCUGUUCUGAAUGAAAUAAAUCUUCUUUUUGUUUGACAGCUCCCCGAUGUGUUAAAGUUUACUUUCGUAUGUUUUCGCCUUCAGUGGGUCAGUCCUGUUAAGCCUAGAGCAAAGAGUCUCCUGCUGGAGCCAAGGGGCUGGCUGGACAGAGUUGUCAUGUGUCUGCCUGUCUACACUUGCUGUGCAGAACAUCCUCUCACCUGUACAGCAGGCACAGACAGGCAGUCACAUGACAACCCAGCCUGAAAUACAGCCAGCCAAUGGGAGAACCACUCUGACUUGACCAUCUUCACCACAUCACUUCUGGAUCCCAGUAUGUUGGCUAAGAAUCAAAAGCAUGUAUAUACUAUAGUUGAUUGCCAGUUUGUACUGAAUUUUGAAGCAAGUCAGAGAUUUACAAUACCAACAAAACACAAUAAAACCUUCUGCUGUGAUUUUUUUUUACUGUGCUUUUUAUAGUCCUCUUUAUAGGUAAAGGUAAAGGUUUUCCCCUGACAUUAAGUCUAGUUCUGUCCAACUCUAGGGUGUGGUGCUCAUCUCCAUUUCUAAGCUGAAGAGCCAGUGUUGUCCGCAGACACCUCCAAGGUUAUGUGGCCGGCAUGACUGAAUGGAGUGCCGUUAACAUCCUGCCGGAGUGCGUUCUAGCCAAGGGAUGAUGCCUCAUACUUCCACUGGUGGAGCUGCUCCAAUAUGGCUCACAAAUGGGACAUUGAAGAAGGAGACAGAAGGCCUGAUCCUUGCAGCCCAGGAGCAAGCCAUCAGAACAAAUGCAAUUAAGGCCAAGAUCGAAAAAUCAGCUGAUGACCCAAAAUGCAGACUGUGCAAGGAAACCGACGAAACCAUUGAUCAUCUCCUCAGCUGCUGUAAGAAAAUCGCACAAACAGACUACAAACAGAGGCACAACUAUGUAGCCCAAAUGAUUAAUUGGAACUUAUGCCUCAAGUACCACCUGCCAGCAGCAAAGAACUGGUGGGAUCACAAACCUGCAAAGGUCGUGGAAAAUGAGCACGCAAAGAUACUGUGGGACUUCCGAAUCCAGACUGACAAAGUUCUGGAACACAACACACCAGACAUCACAGUUGUGGAAAACAAAAAGGUUUGGAUCAUUGAUGUCGCCAUCCCAGGUGACAGUUGCAUUGACGCAAAACAACAGGAAAAACUCAGCCGCUAUCAGGACCUCAAGAUUGAACUUCAAAGACUCUGGCAGAAACCAGUGCAGGUGGUCCCGGUGGUGGUGACUGGGUGCUGUGCCAAAAGAUCUCAGCCGGCAUUUGGAAACAACAGACAUUGACAAAAUUACAAUCUGCCAACUGCAAAAGGCCACCCUGCUGGGAUCUGCACGCAUCAUCCGAAAAUAGAUCACACAGUCCUAGACACUUGGGAAGUGUUCGACUUGUGAUCCAGCAUGUCUAUCUUGUUUGCUGUGUGAUAAUAAUAAUAAUAAUAAUAAUAAUAAUAAUAAUAAUAAUAAUAAUAAUAAUAAUAUAAUCAAGAUACUGUGGGACUUCCAAAUCCAGACUGACAAAGUUCUGGAGCACAACACACCAGACAUCACAGUUGUGGAAAAGAAAAAGGUCAUUGAUGUCGCCAUACCAGGACACAGUUGCAUUGACGAAAAACAACAGGAAAAACUCAGCCGCUAUCAGGGCCUCAAGAUUGAACUUCAAAGACUCUGGCAGAAACCAGUGCAGGUGGUCCCGGUGGUGAUGGGCACACUGGGUGCCAUGCCAAAAGAUCUCAGCCGGCAUUUGGAAACAAUAGACAUUGACAAAAUUACGAUCUGUCAACUGCAAAAGGCCACCCUACUGGGAUCUGCGCGCAUCAUCCGAAAAUACAUCACACAGUCCUAGACACUUGGGAAGUGUUCGACUUGUGAUUUUGUGAUAUGAAAUCCAGCAUGUCUAUCUUGUUUGCUGUGUCAUACAAUAAAAUAAUAAUCAUUUAUAACCCGGCUUCAUCUCCCCGAGGGGAGUCGGAGCGGUUCACAUGGGGACCGAGCCCAAGAAUCAAAAGAUAAAAACAGAACACAAGGAGGAUUCAUCAGCUCAGCAGUAUGUUCUCAAGUUGCUUCUGACACGAUAUAAAAAAGCUCAAUGACAUGUAAGUUUCUUGGCAAUGCCAACAUUGAGAAGGCCACAGGUUCCUCUUCACUUCUUUUUAAAAUUUCAACAGGCCUGUAUGAUCCUUUCUCUCCCACAAGUAUGUGCAAAUGGUUUUUCCUCACAAUCUAGCAGUCUCACGGCAGAAUUUUUUUUUGAAGUGCCAUUGUUGCAUUGAUCUUUUGCUAUAUCAUUUGCUCCACAAAAUUAUGAACUGCACUUCAUUUCAGCACCAUCUUGUGGCUCCCAAUAAUAUUUGAUCUAAUUCUUUAAAAACAAGGAUUCUGCUUGGAAGCACUCAUUGACAUACUGUAUUUCUUUGAUUCUAAGAUGCCAUUGAUUGUAAGAUGUGCACUAAUUUCAGUGCCACCAAUAGGAAAAAAGUUUUGUUUCUAAGGAAAAACAGCAUUUUCUUAUAUCUUUUAGAUAUCUUUUCAGAUGUCAUGUUUUAAUUAUCCUGCUUAUGCAAAUUUUCUUACAUCAUUGAACUUAGCUCUCUAUUUACAGUCUCUUUUGUUAUAUUUUAUAUAUCUGGGAUCAUGUUAGAUAACCAGCUCCUGUUACUUCUUGGCAUCCUUCUAUCUUGUUUAUUUUGCAUCAAAUGUUCUUUUUGGUAAUUAUUGUUAGUGUAAUGUUCAUUCGACCCUCUCUCCACAUUUCCAAACAUGGAAUGAAGAUACUGCAUUAAUUGAGUUGACAUAUGUAAAUAUGCUAAUUACUGCUGCAGCCUUAGCUAUUAAAUGUAGUUGGUGUUCCACUCAGUCAAAUCUCCACUUCUUAUCAUUGAUUGGCUGGAUUCUUGAUGUUUGUAAUUUUUUUCCUUUCUGCGGAGGCAAGUAAAAUUGGCGCUCUGUCCCCUUUCUCUUAUGAGUGCAGAAAAAUCAGGGAAAACCCAUUCUAAGAUGUGCCCCAUUUUGAGAUGUGUUUAUAUGGGUAAAAGAGUGCAUCUUAGAAUCAAAGAUAUACAAUUCUUUAAAUGUUAACAGAUUAAUUCAGAUAAAACAGAUAGAACAUCUGGUGGACAAAAAAGGCUGAAGAAAUCCAAAACCUGGUAGAUACCCAUGAUGCUCAGGGAUUUUUUAAAGCCACCAAGAUCAUCUACAGACCAAGAAAUCACGGCGUACACUCUCUACGCUCAUCAGAUGGAACCAAACUUCUGAAGGACAAAAAAUCAACAGCACUAUGUUGGAAAACGCACUACCACAACCUUCUGAAUCGCAGCUCUAACGUGGCCGAAGAGGUUCUCCCACAAAUCCUACAACAACAAAUCAGGGACGAGUUUGCAGCACCGCCUGGUCUGGAGAAAGUCAGCAAUGCCAUCAGUCAACAAAAAAAUAAUAAAGCCUACGGACGUGAUGGGAUCCCUGCCGAAGUCUUCAAAGUGGGUGGACCUGAGUUGACACAUUAACUCCACCAGAUCAUUGAAAAAGUGUGAAAUAAAUAGUACUCAUGUGAA